CUUGGUAUAGCUUAGUUUAAAGUUUGGGAUUCUUACUCUCAGGAUGUCUUUAUGACUGCCGAGA
rnacentral:tRNA from 1 species